AGCAGCCGCGGUAAUUCCAGCUCCAAUAGCGUAUAUUAAAGUUGUUGCAGUUAAAAAGCUCGUAGUUGAAUUUCGGGAUCAAUUAAUUGGUCGUGCCUCUGGUACGUACUGAUUUUAUUGGUUUCUCCCUUCUGACGAACCAUGAUGUCAUUAAUUUGGUGUCGUGGAGAAUCAGGACUGUUACUUUGAAAAAAUUAGAGUGUUUAAAGCAAGCUAACGCUUGAAUACAUUAGCAUGGAAUAAUGAAAUAGGACGUUUGAUCCUAUUUUGUUGGUUUCUAGGAUCGACGUAAUGAUUAAUAGGGAUAGUUGGGGGCAUUAGUAUUCAAUUGUCAGAGGUGAAAUUCUUGGAUUUAUUGAAGACUAACUACUGCGAAAGCAUUUGCCAAGGAUGUUUUCAUUAAUCAAGAACGAAAGUUAGGGGAUCGAAGACGAUCAGAUACCGUCGUAGUCUUAACCAUAAACUAUGCCGACUAGGGAUCGGAUGAUGUUAAUUUUU
rnacentral:misc_RNA from 1 species